GUGUCAGCCGCCGCGGUAAUACGUAGGGUGCGAGCGUUAAUCGGAAUUACUGGGCGUAAAGCGUGCGCAGGCGGUAAUGCAAGACAGAUGUGAAAUCCCCGGGCUUAACCUGGGAACUGCAUUUGUGACUGCAUUGCUGGAGUGCGGCAGAGGGGGAUGGAAUUCCGCGUGUAGCAGUGAAAUGCGUAGAUAUGCGGAGGAACACCGAUGGCGAAGGCAAUCCCCUGGGCCUGCACUGACGCUCAUGCACGAAAGCGUGGGGAGCAAACAGGAUUAGAUACCCUGGUAGUCCACGCCCUAA
rnacentral:rRNA from 1 species